GCCUGGCUGGCUCAGUUGGUAGAGCGAGCGACUCUUGAUCUCAGGGUCGUGAGUUCAAAUCCCACAUUGAGCA
rnacentral:tRNA from 1 species